rnacentral:rRNA from 1 species
AACGAACGCUGGCGGCAUGCCUAACACAUGCAAGUCGAACGAGAUCUUCGGGUCUAGUGGCGCACGGGUGCGUAACGCGUGGGAAUCUGCCCUUGGGUUCGGAAUAACUUCGGGAAACUGAAGCUAAUACCGGAUGAUGACGUAAGUCCAAAGAUUUAUCGCCCAAGGAUGAGCCCGCGUAGGAUUAGCUAGUUGGUGAGGUAAAGGCUCACCAAGGCGACGAUCCUUAGCUGGUCUGAGAGGAUGAUCAGCCACACUGGGACUGAGACACGGCCCAGACUCCUACGGGAGGCAGCAGUGGGGAAUAUUGGACAAUGGGCGAAAGACCUGAUCCAGCAAUGCCGCGUGAGUGAUGAAGGCCUUAGGGUUGUAAAGCUCUUUGUCCCGGGAUGAUAAUGACAGUACCGGGAGAAUAAGCUCCGGCUAACUCCGUGCCAGCAGCCGCGGUAAAGUGACUACUG